UACGAAGGGGGCUAGCGUUGCUCGGAAUCACUGGGCGUAAAGGGCGCGUAGGCUGCCAUUCAAGUCGGGGGUGAAAUCCUGGAGCUCAACUCCAGAACUGCCUUCGAUACUGUAGAGCUUGAGUUCGGGAGAGGUGAGUGGAACUGCGAGUGUAGAGGUGAAAUUCGUAGAUAUUCGCAAGAACACCAGUGGCGAAGGCGGCUCACUGGCCCGAUACUGACGCUGAGGUGCGAAAGCGUGGGGAGCAAACAGG
rnacentral:rRNA from 1 species